UGCAAAGUAAAAAUGUAAGAAAAAUCUUUCAUAAAGAUCUGUCAGAAUUUCCGUAAGAAGUGAAUAGAACUUAUUUUAGUCAAGGUCCAUAGCUUCAAGUACAACUGUGCGGGAUCCCUUUCUAACCAUGUGAGAUAUAGGCGAAUGCGUCACAUCAAUAUAUGCUCCAGUGAUUAUGGCAGAAAAGUAACCUUCGGGCAGAUCUUACCUUAGUACAGUCCCAUUUGUGAAGCAUCCAAGAAUCAAUGUGCGUCAAGACUUCUCAGGUUUUUCAGCUAUCAGCGAGGAAAUAAGUCUUGACCGGUCUCUCUCCAGAUCAUCAGUAGCCGCUGUCCACUUGCUAUUUUAAAGUCUAACUCCGAAUGUGAACCCUUAAGAACCAGGUGUCUGACAGCAACAUGUAACAGAACUGCAAUAAUGCUGAAUAAACUGAUGGCGGAUACACCAUGACGGCAUGCCAAGUACAAGGACGAUUAGAAGAGUCUAAUAACUUACCAUAUCCAUUAUAUCAUGUCCAUUUCUAGAAUAGUCUACAUUAUGUUUUAACUUCGUAUUCUAAUAGGUGCACAUCUUCAUGCCCCGAACAGCAUUGCACAGAAGUAACGUAACAUCUGUCACCGAAGAAAAUCUCUGUUAGCGAGGGUCUUAAUAUGUCAUGUACUUGAGAUUACGCAACAUGGAGUAGCAAGAGUGCAAGGCAACACAAUCAGAACUACUGAACUGAAACAUAUUAAAUGGUACGACAGAUGCCAAUUAGGGGUUUCACCAUUUUCCAAAAGAAGUAACACACUUUACUGACAUGCUGGACAUCAGGCAUGAUAAAGACUAUAGGUUCUUUGCAGUUUGAUAAUAGUCUGUUCCAGUGCAACAUAAUUGUCAUUGAACUGCACUGGACUAAAAUAGAGAACAUGAGAAUAAAAUUACAUGUUGAACCUGCUAGUAUUUUCUUGACACAUCCAUAUCAUAGCGUACCAGCAUCACAUGUCUAUGUCCAAGCAACUUAGGCAUGCCUCCGGUCCUGGUAACAAUACUUCUAUGAUAAGCACGUGCGCACCAUAAUUACUCCAUAGACGUACAACACAUCCAGUGAUCGUUCCACUAUGAAUAUCUUUUGGGAAAACGGAACUUUUCAAGUCAGAGGUAGGAAGCACAGAAACAAUAUCAAAGCAAAAUGAAAGAAUACUCACCAGAUGAUGUGAAGCAAGUAUAUGUCGUGAAACCAUGAUCUAUGUGGUAUCACCACAUAUUCAUCUUAUGCUUCUGCUAUAAGAAGCUUGAUUGAACCAAUACUUGACUUGAUGUCUUGUCCGCUAAGCUCCAAAUGCUGCGGUACUUCUGUAGCUUGGCAUCAAUUCUUUUCAGCCCACUUUCUCUUGGAGUGUAUGGGAAUAAACCAGCUAAGCUGGCCCCAAUCGUCAGAUUCACUAUUUCCAGCAUAGCCAUGCCAAAUAUUUUGUCAGCUCACCCAGAAAAAAGACCCACUACUACUGCUCAUAAUUGUACUACUGAGCUACAAGCCUGACAUAUAGCAUAUGUGAUGCUUGGGUCUUUUGCACAACUUCAUAUGCCAGACACUACAUGUACAUCACUCAAUUUGUGGCAUUAUAGCUUCUACAUAAACUAAUGCAAUAAUUUUACACAAGCAUCUAAUAUUUCCCUUUUUAUCUUCCAUUUUCUAAAAUCACAAAACACUACACAUGGUCAUAGAUCAAUCAAGCUCUCUUCGUCAAACUAGCAACAGAAAUGUCAGGAAAAUCAAUCUGCAAACUUGCUUAAGAAUGCAGUUAUGCAAAGCAUAAAUGAAGGGCAACAGCCACAUUUCUUCUUACUUUGUGAGGUGUAAGCUACUUUUCAAAAAGGAGGAAAAUCAUAGUGUAGGGGCACUCAUGCGGCACCAAUCUAAACUAAGAUAACAUUUAAUAAUUUAAACAACAUAAAUGCCUGCCCCCCCUCCUAGCCCUGUCUUGACAAAUCUUUCAGGAAGUACCCUGAAAAUGAGGCACAGCCAGAUGUAUUUGUCAAGGUCCCCUGUACCUUAAUGGUACAACUCCAGGGGGCUGCAUGACUUUACUGAAACACGUGGAGCCCAUCCAUGUGUGAGCAUGUGCCUCUGAUACUGCAAUUUGGACUGUCUAUCAUAGCCAAGUAUCAGCUGAAGUGGCAGCCAUAAACACAACCAACGGCAACGACAAACACAUCGCACCAAGCCACUGAUGGUUGAACUCUGGCACAAACCAUAUCUUACAAUCUCAGGCUCAUUAGACAAAUCAUAAUAUAUAACACCAUGAUAAUUAGUUUUGCAUUAGCAUGGGAAUGACGCCCAUGUGGAAUAUAGAGCCAAAUGCAUACAGUUCCACAUCAUGGUAUUUUGAAAAGGUUGAUAACUUCAUUUAAUACUUUACAGAAAACACUAGGAAUCGGUUGUCCAGACUGGGGAUUCCAGCUAAACAGAAAGCUUGGUUUAAUUGAAGUCACACGGUAUUGCCUAACUUGAAAAGCUGUGUGCAACCAAACUCUGACUAAGAUGAGUAGUUAUCAGAAUUCAUAACCUCUGAGCAUGAUCAAUAUUAGUUAAACCUAGCCUGGUGAUGAUAAUACUCUAUUACACAGCUAUAAUUAUUAAGGAGAUACAUAUAGAUAUUUACUUUUGAUCACUAGAGAAAAUGAACUGGUACUUAAAUGAGGCAUUGUCACCUCUCAAACUAUUCAUCAGCAACAUAAGAAUGCAUCAAGUAACAGAGAUUAUUCAGCAUUCCUGUUGAAACACCUCUUUACCAUUUGCCUCGAUGUGAAAGAACUAAAAAUCUUAUGCAUUCUGCAAUCCAUUUUUUUGGUGUGAGUGUGGAGAUGUCUAUCAAAUAAUUCGCAUACAAAGUUAAUCUGCAGAGUCUGCAUAUAUAAAACAAUGAAACUGAGAAGCUGAUCCCCGGUGAACAUCCUGCCAUUCCGCCAGGCUGCCUUGUUGUGGAAAGAACAUUACCAGUUACAGGUCAACCCACUAUUGGUCUGAAUCUUUACCAACCAUGGUUAUAUAGAAAAGAACAUAUGUCUUACUAGAAUGUAUAGAAUUUGCACUUUUCUGAGCAUGUCCAGUAUCUACCAUCAACAACCAAAGAAACUCAAUGUAUUGCACUUUAAAAGAAAAGUACAAUCUCGAAAUAAACUAAACAACAGAAGAUUAGACGUGCAUCUCAACCAUUACCAUACGAAUUCAUACUCCAAAUAAAUUCCUGAAUCAUACCAACAUUCAACGUACAGAGAGAAAAUCAUCCUUAUUAUGUAGGUUCGAGUACGAUUCUAUAGCAGGAGCAGCCUUUCCACCAUCUGCCAGACUAUAUAGAACAUUUGACACUAUUAAUCAGCAUCACCGUGUCCUUGUAGAUCACAGAAGAAAAAUGCCACGUAUGAGUCAUGGCCAUGAAAUGUACCACUCCAAUAAUGUUCAGCGAAUUCGGUGGUCAUAUAUCAACAAUGCUUAAUAGGACAAAAUCUCAUUAUUGUCUCUGCUCGCCCCCACGAGCGCAUGAGCCGUACGGACUAGCCACAUUGGACCCAAACAAAUAUCACAUGGGUAGAGCAAUAAUGAAAUUGCUUCAAGAAUUAGGCUAUGCACUUUUCAUGCUGCCAACUGAACUAGAUCAUGCGCUCUUCAUGCUACCAACAACCAGAAGAAAGCAAUGUAACAAGCUCACAAAAAAAGCAUUACUAGAAUCAAACAAUGAUGGGAGUCACGGGAGGGUCCUGGCUCUUACCAGGGCAACAUAAAAUUUGCAAAUAUCUCUUGAUGGAGCAUGGAGAGGACAGGGGAAAUACUACAUGCCAUCUCAGAUUAUCACUUGAUGAGCUCAAGUCGGCGCAUAAGAGAAAAAGGAAAGGAAUUUAUACAAAAACCACGAGCAGAAAACCUGCAAUACUCCUACGGAUACAAAGCCCAAAGGACCCAAAUCAGCAAACACCACAAUGAGUAUAAUCAUGGAAGAAACCCUGUCGUAUGAACAGUAUACUCAUAUAUACGGAGUAGAUCAGAUUCUGCCAUGCAUUCGACGCCUCAUUCGAGCAAUUCGAUAAGCUCGAUGCACGUUUAAUUAGGAACUGCGUGCGCUCAUUUUGCAUCACGGGGACAAAAGCUACAGAGUAGAAUAAUACUAGGCGGCCCAAAUCCUGAAAUCCCUAAUAAGCUCCUAAAGAGCACGCGCAUCAGGUAAUCUUCGCGCCAGUUCCUAGUUCCCAAGAGGACGCGCGGAGGAGUACGAACCUAGGGGAAUGCGGAGGUCGGCGGGGAACUGGCGCACUGGCAGCAAGCUGUGGUGCGGCCGCCCGUGCGCCGCGACGGCCGCUGCUGCUGGUGUUCCCGGUGGAGGCAGGAUAGUUGUGAUGUGAGCGAGGUGGACGACGGCCCACGGUCUGGAGAUUUGGCC
rnacentral:lncRNA from 1 species